rnacentral:misc_RNA from 1 species
AACGCAUAUUGCGCUCUCUGGCAUUCCGGAGAGCAUGCUUGUUUGAGUAUCAGUAAACACCUCAAGUCUUGGAUUAUUUUUUCAAGAGUUGGAUUUGAGUGAUCCUAACUACGAGUUGUCCCCUACAAAAGGACAAUGAGGAAGGCAGGUCACUUGAAAUUCAGGUGCAGCUGAACUUUUCUUCUGAGCUAAAAGCAUUAUUUUAUUUAGUCUUUAUUGACUAUUACUUUUUGCUGCAGCUAAUAUAAAGGGAGAAAGGCUUCUUAAUGCUGACUGAUGCAGGAAUUUAUCAGUUUUUUUUUAAAAAAAAAAGAAUUGUUAGACUCGAUCUCAAAUCAAGUAAGACUACCCGCUGAACUUAA